rnacentral:rRNA from 1 species
GAUGAACGCUAGCGGCAGGCCUAAUACAUGCAAGUCGAGGGGUAACAUGAGAGCUUGCUCUUGAUGACGACCGGCGGACGGGUGCGUAACGCGUAUGCAACCUACCUAAUACAAGGGGAUAGCCCGUGGAAACAUGGAUUAAUACCCUAUAACAUUUAGAUUCAUAAGGGUUUAAGUUGAAAGAUUUAUUGGUAUUAGAUGGGCAUGCGUAUGAUUAGUUAGUUGGUGAGGUAAUGGCUCACCAAGACGAUGAUCAUUAGGGGGUCUGAGAGGAUGAUCCCCCACACUGGUACUGAGAUACGGACCAG